UUUAUUUGAGAGUUUGAUCCUGGCUCAGGACGAACGCUGGCGGCGUGCCUAAUACAUGCAAGUUGAGCGCUGAAGGUUGGUACUUGUACCGACUGGAUGAGCAGCGAACGGGUGAGUAACGCGUGGGGAAUCUGCCUUUGAGCGG
rnacentral:rRNA from 1 species